GAUGAACGCUGGCGGCGUGCCUAAUACAUGCAAGUCGAGCGAACGGACGAGAAGCUUGCUCCUCUGACGUUAGCGGCGGACGGGUGAGUAACACGUGGAUAACCUACCUAUAAGACUGGGAUAACUUCGGGAAACCGUAGCUAAUACCGGAUAAUAUAUUGAACCGCAUGGUUCAAUAGUGAAAGACGGUUUUGCUGUCACUUAUAGAUGGAUCCGCGCCGCAUUAGCUAGUUGGUAAGGUAACGGCUUACCAAGGCAACGAUGCGUAGCCGACCUGAGAGGGUGAUCGGCCACACUGGAACUGAGACACGGUCCAGACUCCUACGGGAGGCAGCAGUAGGGAAUCUUCCGCAAUGGGCGAAAGCCUGACGGAGCAACGCCGCGUGAGUGAUGAAGGUCUUCGGAUCGUAAAACUCUGUUAUUAGGGAAGAACAAAUGUGUAAGUAACUAUGCACGUCUUGACGGUACCUAAUCAGAAAGCCACGGCUAACUACGUG
rnacentral:rRNA from 1 species